rnacentral:tRNA from 1 species
AGGUUAUUAAGCGACUCAAAAUCGCGUUUCUUCGGAAGUGUGGGUUCGAAUCCCACCAUCGCUACCA